AAGAAAUUAGUUAACUAAUAACACCACCUUGUCAAGGUGAAAUAAUGGGUUAAAACCCCAUACUUCUUU
rnacentral:tRNA from 1 species